AAACGACUCCGCUUCAGUGAAGCUCCUGCGGAUCACCUCUUCGACCUGCACGCGCUCCGUUCGAAUCAAGUUCAGUAUCAUGUUGUAGGAGAGGCGGAACUGGCUUGAAAGCCGGGGUGGCACUCCUGUCAUAGUGCGUUUCAGGUCUAGCUCAGUCGGGAGUUCGCCUACGGAGAAGAAGAGGAUCACGAUGCCAUAGGCGUCGAGGCCCCGGCGACCGGCUCGCCCGCUCAUCUGGGUAUAUUCACCAGGACUCAGCAGUCGAUACUGCCUUCCAUCGUGUUUGCGAAUGCCGCUGAAGACGACGGUGCGUGCGGGCAUAUUCACACCCAUGGCGAACGUCUCGGUGGCGAAGAGGACCCGCACGAGGCCCCGUUGAAAUAAAAUUUCCGUCAUCUCUUUCACGAUGGGCAGCAGUCCGGCAUGGUGGAUGCCGAUGCCUCGGUGCAGGAGGUCACGAACUCUUUGAAUCUGUGGAACACGCCGAUCCGCCGCUUGCAAGCGCGAGAGUGCCGACUCGACCACAACGUGGAUCCGAUGCGCUUCGCCCGGGUUCUGCUGGUGUAGAUUCAAUGUACCAAGGCUGUCCGCUGCCUCUUCACAUCUCUUGCGAGAGAAACAGAAAACUACUGCCGGUAGAAGCUCUCGUUUGCGCAGGAACUGCACCAAUGUACCCCAGGCUGGGCGUCCUAGUAUCCCAGCAGGUGCCAGGUGCGCUUUCGCUCCGCGCUUGGCGACGAGUUCCCGCUCCACAUCCUGAGCGGCCUUGUAGCCCUGUGAGAGAAAAUCCCCUCGUGCAUUUUUCACGAGAAUGAGAUCGUUCUUCGCGUAGAUAUAAUGCUGAAGCGGCACUGGUCGGUGGCUCGUCGUGAUGACAUACACAGGUCUCUGUUUGCAGCGUCCAACCCAGUCGGCAAAUUCUUGCGCGUUCGGCACCGUUGCCGAAAGCAUGAUGAUGUUGACGUGUUCCGGCAGCAGAAUGAUGACCUCCUCCCAGACGACACCACGCUCUUCAUCGUUCACGUAGUGGACUUCAUCGAAGAUGACCCACUCGACGUCCCGAAUGAGGUCGGCACCCCGGUAGAGCAUCGAGCGCAGAAUCUCUGUUGUCAUGAUUAGACAGGGAGCCGUUGGCUGGAUGCAGACAUCGCCCGUGAUCAAACCAAUUGACUCCGAACCAAAACGAUCACUAAAAUCCCGAAACUUUUGAUUGCUGAGCGUCUUGAUGGGACUCGUGUAAAUUGCCUUGGUUGCAUGAGCGCGAGCCAGCGCAAUCGCGUAUUCAGCAACCACUGUCUUCCCUGCAGAGGUGUGAGCUGCGACAAAGACGCUCUCUCCGCGCUCAAUGUGCAGAAUGGCCUGCUUCUGGAAGCGAUCUAGUUCAAAGGGAAACUCGAGUGCUGGCUUUGGGACGCGUUGCGCAAAGUCCACUGGAUCCGACUCGUCGACCAGCGCAUAGACAGAGCGCCGGGCUGGCUUUCCUCCUCCUCCUGCUGCUGCUACUGCUGAUACAUUUGGCAUAUUAGUUGAUGCACCAAUGCCGAGGUCGCUUUGCUGUUGUUCGGGUCGGAGAAGCUCUUCCAGUGAGCGCUCGACUGAGGCCAGACGUGCAUCCAGUCGAUCAAGCGCGGGCAGAGAAGGAACCGCACGCGGUGGAUCAGUUGCAGUUUCCAGCGUCCUUGCCGUAGCAAUCCGAGGCGUUCUAGCAGCCGUCGAUUCCUCAGGUUCUUCCUCUAGUUGCUCGAGUCGAAUACCGAAAAGGAUCUCAUCGCCUUGCUCAGGUUCGAAGGCUUGUGCCCAGGAAAAUCCGGGUUGCCGGCUUCUCUCCAUGACUCGACCUGUGAAGGCGAGUCCACCGAGUUCAUCCGCAUCGCCGGCGAUGUAGGCAAGGGCACUUCCUCCAUUGGGGUUACUGAUCGACUCGCGUGCUCGUCGCUGCUCCAAAGACUGCAGGUAUGCUUCAUCAAGAUGUAUUCGAUCAAGAAGGUUCUGCUUGGUCUGUCUCCGAGGUACCCAAUUGAGCUGGCUAGGUGGCUGUGUUGCUGGCAUCCAGAGAGGCGGAUUCCACUUCUGGAUACGCUCUACACAUACGUUCCACCAGUCCGAAUCGUUGCGUUCGUCUGAAGCGUCCGGCCUGCUCGGCAGCUGGUCAUCUACUUGCCCGGAUAAAGACACAACCG
rnacentral:misc_RNA from 1 species